UUCCCAGGGCCAGUGCUGUGGACCUGGGCCCUGUUCUGGGCACAGUCCCUGCGUGUACCUGCAUUCUGCAUGUGACCUCGGGCUCGGCCCCUCUGUCUCUGGCUUCCGAGGGACCCUGAGACCCCCAGGCCCAGCUGCCCCAAGCCUGGAUUCCUGACCUAAGAAACUGUGAGGGAGAGUGGGAAUUAGGUUAUGGCCUCCCAUCACCCGGCGCCACAGUCCAGCUGCAAGGCCGUGGAGAGAGCGGGGUCCCAGCACGGCCCCUUGUCACCAUACUCGGCUGCUGGAAGCCCUACGGGAAUCUUGAGAGCUGGUUGUUAAGCACAGCCACAGAAGCUCACCACGAAAUGCGUUGUAUGACAAACAGCCUCCUCUCUGAGGGAGAACCUUCCGGCAAGCCCUGGCCAGGUACGAUGAAGGAGCCGCUUCCGAGGGGGCACACUCCGGUCCCUGCAGGUUCAGGCCAGACUAGAUGCCUGGGAAUUUGAUCUUCACACCGGGGCGGUGGGAAUGGAUGAGCCUCCCUGUGGACCCUCCUCUGCUCUGGGGGACGCGGGGAGGUCACGGGCUGUGACCUGGGAGCUGACAUCUGUCCCUCUCCCCACUGCUCACCACCAACAUGGCCAGCUGUCAGGGUCGAACUGCUGCCGGCUGGGUCAUGCCUGGUGCCCCUGCUGAGACCCAGGGCAUCCUUGCACCAGGGGCACCGCCUCUGAGGGAUGCGGGCUCCCUGCCUGGGAGCGCUCACCACCCCGGACGGGGCU